rnacentral:rRNA from 1 species
AGAUUGAACGCUGGCGGCAUGCCUUACACAUGCAAGUCGAACGGCAGCACGGGGGCAACCCUGGUGGCGAGUGGCGAACGGGUGAGUAACAUAUCGGAACGUGCCCUGGAGUGGGGGAUAACUAGUCGAAAGAUUAGCUAAUACCGCAUACGAUCUACGGAUGAAAGUGGGGGAUCGC